rnacentral:rRNA from 1 species
AACGUAGGAGACAAACGUUAUCCGGAGUUACUGGGCGUAAAGGGCGUGUAGGUGGUAUCGUAAGUCUGGCGUGAAAUUUCUCGGCUUAACCGAGGCAGGUCGUCGGAUACUGCGAGGCUAGAGGACGGUAGAGGCGUGUGGAAUUCCGGGUGUAGUGGUGAAAUGCGUAGAGAUCCGGAGGAACACCAGUGGCGAAGGCGACACGCUGGGCCGUACCUGACACUGAUGCGUGACAGCAUGGGGAGCAAACAGG